AUGCUCAGACACUUUACAUGAUAAAAAGUUAAAUGAAAUAAAAACUGAAAAAGAGAAAAUAGCUGUCUAAUAAGCCUUACUGUAUAGUACUCUGUUUCUAAAUAGUAAAGAGUUUUUCACCUACACAUCACCAACUCUCAAAAUAGCAGCUUGAGAUAGAAAGUGACAUUUAAGCUCUGUCUACAGGAAGCCAAAAACCUCCUGGUUGAUUUGAUUGAUUCAGACCAAGAGCUAGUUGGUUUAGAGGAGGAAAAAAGCAUCAGACUCACUUUUCUGAGUUUACUGAACAGCACCUUGUUUGGUGCUUAUGCGCAUGAUAAGUGCUGGUCAAUAAAUCAGUGAAUUUAACAUUUGUUCUGGCACCUUCAUAGAGACAUAAUUUUUACUGUCAGCAAUAUAUGAUAACUCAGAAACAAAGGUAGCUCUAGGCAAAAAAAGGCAACAUUUAUUUUCCAAAUAUUCAUGUGUGAUGGACAUCACUGUAAACACAGCCUAGGUGGAUACCAAGAACUAGAUCAUGAAAGUGUCAUUAGAUAAAGUUUUGUCAAAAUUCUACCAUUACUUAUUACAACAUAUAUUUUUGCUCAAUUGGUAUUUCAAUGAUUUAUAUACUUUAAAUAUAUACAUAUAUAUUUAUAUGUAAAACUACUGUAAAGAUCCUAAUAUAUAGAACCCUUUAAGAUUUACAAAGCGUACCCAUAUUGUGGCAUAUCCUGUCACCUCACUUUGUGAGUCAGACAAAACAGGUGACAUUAUUUUUGUUUUUCCGGAGGGGAGCAGGCUCUGGGAAGCGUCCCUGGGCUGUCAGGCCAGAAGCCGAGGAAUGGGGACAGGAUGAAGGCGUCCCAGCUCCAGGCCCAGUGAUCUCUGUCACCCUUGGCUGUGUCUCAUGGGGAGAUAUAGAAUAUAUCCUUGUGGUUUCUACUUGGAUUAUAGUGGAGGGAAGAAACCUUCCCUUCAGCUAAUCUCUCAUAUUUAAAUCAUGUCAGUAAACUGGUGCUUCCUUUUAAUGACUAUAUAUUAUAAACAGUCAAUAUUUGGGGUAUAGUAAUGCUCCAUUAGUAUCACAUUCUGUUUGUUUGCUGAAAUCCAGAAGUUAAGAUUUGUGAGAAUGCUAAAUGCUCUUCUCAACAUUAUUAAAUCCUUUGAUGUUGAAAAAGAGUAUGUCUGAAAGUAUAUUAAAGUUACAUCAUAACUUUAUAAUAUCAAUUAAUGCAAGGCCCAUCGCUCUGGCCCAUCAUUUGGCAAAUGGCUUUAUUCCUUCAGGGUUUUCUUCCAGGACUUCUGUUCCUCCUCAGCGGAGUCAGUCCACUUAUUUAUCACACCCUCUCGCUGCUAGAAUCCAUUUUCUAGCCUAUUUUAUGUGCAAAGAAAACCAUCCACAAUGGCUUAUCUGUGACUCUCUCACCUCCAGUCAGUAACUAUUUCCAUCAAACUAGUUUGAACCAACUUUUGGAAGCACCCCAUUCAUUCCCUGCCUUUGCAUAUUUUCUGUAUCUUUUUUAAACUUCCCAAAUGACUCACUUUUGCAUUUGUUUUGAAUUAAAGGUUCCUCUUACGGUUUCUUCCUGGGCAUUCCCUUCGGAGCUAGAUAGAAACUUGUUUGCACAGCAGCACGUCCAGCUGAGAAGAGAAAUGCUGACACUCGCUCUUUACCAGGAGGUUAAAUGGGUUAAUCAGGAUGCAGUUCAACAGCUCCAAUAGGUCCACACUUCAGGGACCACAGAACUUAAUAUUCUACUAUGCUGUCUGCUUCAGCAAUAUGAACAAACAAAAUCGUCAAACACUGUCCCAGGAUAAAAUGAAUGUACUUCCAAAAUCUUCUCUGACUCGCUGCCGACAGCUUGAUCCCAGUGGACAGUGUGACUACAGCGUCCCACCAAGGUGUUUUCCCGCUUUCCCUCAUGCAGAAUCAUCAGACUAAGAGUGGCCUGAAACAUCACUUCACAAACACAACCUGAGGAAGCCAGAAGAGGAAACUAGAGAUGUUUGGGGUGGGAACAGUGCCCUGUGGGCCGCCGCAGCCAGCUGUGUGUGACGGACUCUUUCAUUUGCUCACAACGUCUCAUUCCCCUCUACCCUUACCAUCUUUCCUUUUGAUGCUACCUCUUUCCUCACCCCACUGACCCUGGACUUGCCUGGCCCGUGGAACAUGAGCAGAUAAGUACGCUGUGUCCUGGCAGAAAAUAAUGAUGUCUUUGUGUGGUACGGCUCCGACCCUCGGCUUGCAUGCUCUGAACAGCGGCCGCUGCAGUAACCUGGCGGCAGAAUGGGAAGCCACAGAGCCCAGCCGCGCUCUCAGCUACAGCCUUCAUGGGAUGUGAGCUACAAACCAGUGCUUGAAGUCGCACUGAGCUCGGCCAUUAUUCGUCCUUCUGCCUACUUCUCGCUUCACCGUAAGGCUGUCUCCUCCCUCGGCCCCCACCCUGCCCACCGCAGCAUCUUCCUGGAUUUGCAGUGCACACUGGACACCUUCUGCUAACUGGCAGGCUCGCCAGUGGUUGCCGAGGGCCCGGUCCUCAGAUGCAAGCCGUCUCUUCCCUGGAGACGGACUUUUGGGAUAAGAAAAUGGAAAAGGCGCUUUGGGAACAUUACCUGAAUAUCUAAAUGGAGACUAAUGACCGAGAACGUGAAGGGGUGCUGACAAGCCCCAGAGAGCCCCCUUUCUGGAGACGAGCCUGCCUCUCGCAGCGCGACACCCAGCGGCAGAUAAAGUGGAGGCCAGUCAUCCGCAGUCGGCCUGCCCAUGCGCCUUCCACAUGCAGUUCAGGAGCAGCCUCUUGGCCCUCCGCUGAUCCCAUUACAUUGACAACAGCCGUUCCAGCUG